rnacentral:rRNA from 1 species
CAUGCAAGUCGAACGGAAAGGCCUCUUCGGGGGUGCUCGAGUGGCGAACGGGUGAGUAACACGUGGGUGAUCUGCCCUGCACUUUGGGAUAAGCCUGGGAAACUGGGUCUAAUACCGGAUAGGACUACGAAUCGCAUGGUUUGUGGUGGAAAGCUUUUGCGGUGUGGGAUGGGCCCGCGGCCUAUCAGCUUGUUGGUGGGGUGAUGGCCUACCAAGGCGACGACGGGUAGCCGGCCUGAGAGGGUGUCCGGCCACACUGGGACUGAGAUACGGCCCAGACUCCUACGGGAGGCAGCAGUGGGGAAUAUUGCACAAUGGGCGCAAGCCUGAUGCAGCGACGCCGCGUGAGGGAUGACGGCCUUCGGGUUGUAAACCUCUUUCAGCAUCGACGAAGCGGAAGUGACGGUAGGUGCAGAAGAAGCACCGGCCAACUACGUGCCAGCAGCCGCGGUAAUACGUAGGGUGCGAGCGUUGUCCGGAAUUACUGGGCGUAAAGAGCUCGUAGGUGGUUUGUCGCGUUGUUCGUGAAAACUCACA